rnacentral:lncRNA from 1 species
AAUGGUCCCAUCUCUCUCUCUCCUCCUUCUCUCUCCUUCCUCUCUCCCUUCCGUUGGCUUCUCCUCCAUCUUCUUUGUGCGAAAGACCAGAAAAUUUGCAGAGGAAGAAGCCGAAGCAGCCCCUCGUCGUUCGCCUCCUUCGCCGCUCGUCGCCCGUUGCCGGAACCGCCGAAGCCAGCUCGUCGCCGGUUCUCCUUCGCCCGCUCACGCCGCUGCUCUUCCCUCGUUCGCCGUCGUCCUCGCUCGUCUUCACGUUUGGGAGGCUGUCCGACCAGCCUAGGUCACGGAUCAGCCACCGUGAGCCGCCGUGCGCCCCCGCCUUAGCUCGCCGGAGCUUCGCCUUGCCUUCGCCGCCCUUGGCCGCCUCAACCGGCGCCGGAUCCGCCCAUUCUCGGCCUCAAACCGCCAUGGACAGCAGCUGCAGAAAAUGGGUAUGGCAGCCCCUUCUUGGCCCGUUUUGGCCGCCUUCCCGAGCCCGGAUGCUCGGCCCGCUUUGAGGAAAGUCGAUCCUCGCGUCGUCCUCGUCGUUUUGGUUCGCUCGGCUCGCUAAUCCGGUGAGUUUAGCUCACUAAACCUCGCUUAGAGGGUUAAUUAUGCUUUAGGUGUGCUUAGCUUAAGUUGAUUAAGCUUAGGUGGUUAAUUUAGUUGAUUUAAUUAUGAUUUAGAUUAAGAUGUUUGUUUAAUCUAAAGUAUGUUUAAUUAAAUGCUAAGGGAGUUUAUUUAAAGUUAAGUGGGUGUUUAUACUAAUAUAAACAUUGAUGUGACAUAAAUGAAUUUACUUUUGAUUUAUUUAAAGGUCUCGAAAUUAUCAUAUAAUUUAAUAAUAUAUUUUAUUCGAAAUUAAUAAAAUAUUAUUAUUUAAUUAUUUUCGGAAUAAAUUAAAUUAUUUGUUAAAUUCCGAAAAUUUUGUCGAGACCUUAAAUUCUCAGAAUUUCGUGCCGGUCGUGGCUGUGUAGUCGGAUUUUGAAAUUGAUGAUUGGAUAUUAUAAAUUGAGUGUGGAUUUCGAAAACUAUGGAUAUUAUUAUUUAAUUAUUUUCGGAAUAAAUUUAAUUAUUUAUUAAAUUCCGAAAAUUUUCAUUGGGACCUUAUUUGCUCAGAAUUUCGUGCCGAUCGUUGCUGUGCAUUUAGAAUUUGAAAUUGAUGAUUGGUUGUGAUGAAUUGAGUGUGAUUGUGAUUUAUAGGGAUUCUUUAUGAAAUCCUAAGUGUAGAAACUGAUGGGAGAUUGGCUGUAAAAUACCACCUAUUAGAGGUCGUGCCCAGAGAGGCCGUGAUAAACCACCUUGGAAAGGUCGUGCCCGAUGAGGCCGUGAAAAACCACCUACAAGAGGUCGUGCCCGAUGAGGCCGUGAAAUACCACCUAUUAGAGGUCGUGCCCAGAGAGGCCGUGAUAAACCACCUGUGAAAGGUCGUGCCCAGAGAGGCCGUGAUAAACCACCUGUGAAAGGUCGUGCCCAGAGAGGCCGUGAUAAACCACCUAUUAGAGGUCGUGCCCGAUGAGGCCGUGAUAUGCCACCUAUUAGAGGUCGCGCCCAAUGGGGCCGUGAAUUGCCACCUGUUAAAGGUCGCGCCGAGUGGGGCCGUGAUGCCACUGAUUUAAAUUUGCCGAGUAGGGCCGUAGUUGAGAGCAAUGAUGGAUUUGCUAGAAUGACAUGUAAUCGGCCGAGUCGAUUGAUCGCUGAGACGAUCCAAGUGGUUGAAUGGUUUGAUAAUGUGAUUGUGUCAUGGUUGUUUGGUUAUCAUAAUUGUACGUGAUUGGAUUAUAUAAAUUGUGCUAACCUGCAGAUGAAGGCUGAGGCGAGGUAAGUCUUCUGUGUGAUGUGGCUAGGCCACCCGGGGCGUAUUUUCUUUCUAAUAGGGGUUUAGGGGGUUGAACUUGCUGAGACAUCGUCUCAUCCCGGUUGUGGGAUUAAAAUUUCAGGUCCCUGGUGGACGGAGCGGCCAGAUAGCUUUGAUUGGCCUUGAGGAGUUGCAGAGGUGAAGUCAUAAGGGUUGGAGAGCGUGUCCUGCUAGUUGGUUGUAGGAUAGUCCCCCUUUUGUCGAGCUGGUCUAUUUUGUAGAAAGUCCAGUGUUGUAUUUAAACCCUUUGUGUUUGUAAAUGAGUGUUUGGUAUUGUGAUUGAUUGCCUGCUUUUCUAUCCCAAGUUAAAUGUUGUCAGGGGAUUUGUUUCGCUUCCGCAUGCGUAAAUAAAGAAAAUGGGUCGGCGACAUAUCCUGGGAUGUCGCAUUUUUGAUCGACCGUAGUGGGAUGUGCGCGCGCUCAGGGUUCGGGGCGUGACAUCCCCGUUUAAGUGGUAUCAGAGCAUGGUCUGUGUAUGGAGUGAUAAGGUGCGAUGAGUCUUGGGAUAGUUAGUAGGAAAGGCUUUUAAUAUGCUGAUGCAUGUGGUUGAUAGCUGCUUGGUAGCUUGUUUGUGGGGUCACUCAAAUUCUAACCUGAUGUUGGAAUCGAAAACAGGCAUCGGUAAAGAGCCUGUAGGAUGAGUGACCAGGAGUGGAGGACUCCUUGGAAGAGGUCAAUAGGACCUGUACCUCGGGGUAGGAUGCUGACAAGAGUUGGUACCCGAGGUAGAGCGCAGGCUUAGUCCAGCGUGUGUGUGAAAGUACCGCCGUAGGCUGGUUUUGAGAGUGUAGCAGCACUAAACGAUCCUAGGUUUAAUGGGAUCGUUAAGGCGCUAGUGUUCCUUGGAAGCUCGUUGGGUCAGUAAGUUCAGGACCAAGCCGCCGCUGUUGCUGUUGUGUCUACCGCUGCCAGUGUUGUGACCGUUGUUGUUGCCGUGCAUGUUGAGGCCCAAUCUGGAGUUGUGAUCGAGGAUCAAGUCUCCGUAUCUGAGUCAAGGUUCAGUUUAGACAGAGAUGAAAAUCGGUUGGGGAGAAAGGCUGAUGUCAGAAGAAAGAUGCUCUAUUUCACCCAACUGGAAGAGUAGAAUUGAAAAGUCAAUGCUCAUCUCGAUCGAUGGGUGUCGUGUUUGUAAGAAAAGACUUGUUACAGGUGUCGCCAGUAAAGCCAUUUGAUCAAAGAUGGCUCGUAUAGAUGGAUGGAACUAUAGCUGUUUCUGCAUCGUCGUUGAUAAGACAGAACAGGGGAAACAUGCUACGGGACAUUUAGUGGGGUACUUGGAACAGACCCCAGUGCAAGGAAUGGUGCAUGAUGUUCCUUGAUGGGAAGUAGAUGACUCACCGAUUGUGUGCUGAGUUUGUGGAAAAAGGAGAGUGAGUCAGCCCAAUGUCAGAGUAAAAGAGAGCAUGCUUUGAAUAUGGCCAGCACGAUCAUUGGGUUAGGAAUUGUCCGCGUAAGUCCAUGAGAGUGUAAGUAUCGUUACUGCAGAUAGGACGCCACUAGGAUGGCUAGAGGAGCAUGAAGGGAUCGACUAUGCAUCAAUCAGAAGAAGAAUGUUUAUGAGAUGUUUUAUGCAAAGUAAUGCAGCCGAAUUUUCAGUGAAGGUUGUAGGGUUUUUGUUGAGGUAAUGAGGUAUUAGAAAUGUGAAUUUCUGACUAUAGUUGCACUCGAAGAGUUUGCUUAAGUAUGACUUGGAAGUCAUUUAUAAAAAGAUUUGGCUUAAGGGGCUUUUUGUUGUUAUGAAUCGUGGCAGUGACAUAAUUCAGUUUGUUCAGUUAGCGUGUGAAAGUUUUGAAUCACUAAAAGUCGAAGAGGAACUUCGAUCCUUGUUAUUCGUCACUGAAGAUGACCCGGUUCUGGUUGUUGGUUAUCGAAUCUGCAUGGCAGCUGUAAUAGAUGCGUUAGUUGAGGAGCCGAAUAUGGAGAACGUAAUCGUGGUACGUGAAUUUUCUAAGGUAACCUCUGGAGAAUUGUCAAGUUUGCUGUCAGAAAGAGAAAUAAGGUUCGUGAUUGAAUUAGCACCCGGAACAGAGCCAGUUCCUAAGGCUCCUUACCGGAUGGUGUUACCCGAAUUAAAAGAACUGAAGGUGUAGAUGCAAGAAGUGUUGGAUAGGGGAUUCAUACUUUCCAGUGCAUCACCUUAGGGAACACCUGUUCUAUUCGUGAAGGAUAAAGUUGAUUCAUUGUGUUUGUACGUUGAUAUUCUUCAAGAUCGACUUGAGAUUAAGGUAUCAUCAGUUGAGGAUCAGGAAGAAAGACAUAUCGAAGUUAAGACCUCGCACUCGAUACAGUAGUUAUGAGUUCAUUGUAAUGCUAUGUGGUUUAAUGGGCACCCCAGCGGUUUAUUUGGGUCUGUUGAGCAGAAUGUUUAAGGACACUUGAAUCAGUUGUGAUCGUGUCCAUUGAAGUUAUCCCGGUGUGUUUAAAGAGUGCUGAGGAGCACGAGAGACAUUUGGGGAUGAUACUUCAGACCUUGAGUGCUUUUGGAUUUUACAAUAAGUUUAGCAAAUGCGAGUUUUGGAUGACUCGUGUUGUGUUCCUAGGUCAUGUGAUUUCAGGAGAAGGAAUCUCCGUAGACCUCGUCUGAGAUUAAAGCAGUGAUCAGUUGGCUGAUAUUGACUGCAGUGACAAAGAUUAGAAGUUCUGGGGAUUAGCAAGAUAUUACAGAAGUUUUGUGGAAGGGAUUUCAGCGUCAGCGUUGCAGUUGAUUCGACUACUGAGGAAGUAAGAAAAGUUUGUGUGGACAGAUAAGUGCGAGCGUAGUUUUCAAGAGCUUAAGCAGAAGCUGACUACCGCGCUGUGCUUACCAUUCCAUCUGGUCCUAAAAGUUAUGAGAUCUGCAAUGAUGCGUCGUUUAAAGGAUUUGGUUGCUUGUUGAUGCAGCAAGAUAGGGUUGUUGCAUAUGCGUCCUGUCAGUUGAGGCCUUAGGAGUUGAAUAUGAGAUGACGUCACUGGAUGGAACUCAUUAAGGAUUAUGACCAUGAUAUUUUGUAUCACUCUGGAAAGGUGAGCAAAGUCGCAGAUGUACUGAGUCGAGAGUCCUUAGUUGCAUAGUUGGUACUCAAGGAUUUGAUCUUAAUUGAGAAAGUUCGAAAUUCGGUUUUCAAAUCUAAGGUAGGCCACCUUUUGAAUGUUAUGACUACCCUCAGAAUUGAGCCGAGAGUACGGAUCAGAAUCAAAGUGCUUCAGUGGACAGAUUUAGAAAUUCAAAAGACUCUAUAAGAGAAUGCAGAUGGGAAAAAGAUUGAUUUUCAGAUUUUUGAAGACAGAACGCUAAGGUUCUGAGGAUGAUUGUGUGUAAUUGACGAUAUAGAGAUUAAAGAAUAGAUCUUAUGGGAAACUCAUCAUAGCAACUUCAGCAUUGUCCAAAUAGUGCGAAGAUGAGUCAGAAUCUAUAUCAUCGGGAUUGGUAGAUCGGUAUGACGAUAGAUUUCGCCGAACAAGUUGUAAGUGUUGGAUGCACCAGUAAGUGAGAAUUUGGUAAUGUAAGCUAGGAAAGCUUUUUCAAGUACUGGAGAGAGGUUUGUGUGGGAAUGAAAGUAUAACAUGAUGGAAUGUUAUGACAGGUUAUUAAGGAGUCAGGAAGAGCAUUGAUUCCUUAUGAGGUUGUAAUCGACAGAGGAUCAGAGUCAACUCACCUUAAUGCACGAAAAGAUCUCGAUUGGAAUAGGUAUACCGAAGUGUGUGUAUAUCAAAUAAUUUAUCUGCAUGGAGUGCCGGGGAUGAACUGUAUUUCAAAUCUAGAUCAGAUGUUCCAAGUUGGUAGAGCUUUCAGAUAGUUCUUUCUUAAGCAGUGCAUAGCAGAGAGUGCAGAAUUUCGAUUGCUGAGAUGAAAUCAGGGAAAGAAAGAUCACAGGCCAAGGUCAGAACAGUAGUCAGUGAUUGCAGUUACCAAAGUCAGUGUCAGAGUUAUAUCAGAUCUUGACCAGGGGUUCCCAGUUUCAGCAGAUCAAUCAGAUAGUUUCUUUUUAAUCAGUGCAGAGUAGAGUGUACAGAACUUCAGUUGGUUGAGAUGAGAUCAGAGAUUAGAAAAUCGCAAGUCCAGAGUUGGUUUAGAAAUCAGUGAUUCAGUUGCAAUUAUCAGAGACGGUUUAGAGACUGCUCAGAAUCGCGAGUUAGCUUCGCAGAUUUUGUGUUGAAGACCUUUGGGAUUUUAAGUGGGCAAGUGUUUAGUGUUUUGGAACCCGAAGUGGUUUGGGCAAGAUAGCAGUGAUCUGGCAGUAUUGGUACUGAAGGAGCAACUAGAGAAACCGAAGAUUCAAUGAGACAAUUGUACCUCCACCUUUUUUGUUUAAGAAUUGGUAAAGGUUUAAAUUUCGAGGACGAAAUUUUUAUAAGAGGGGAAGAGUUGUGACAUCCCGAUUUUUCCGAUUCUAUUUUCAAUAAAUUGGGACGGGCAUUUCGUUGGCACGCAUAUAGUUCUUUUCCUUGAGCCGGCCACUCAUGUGAAAACUAGUCUAUCGGGUAAAGCGGUUAAGAGUUUCUAAUGCAUCAGACUCGAGAAUUUGGCCAGGAAGCGACCUUUCGACCGAGCUAAUCUGCAAGGGUCAUUACGACACAAAUAAAAAUCGAUUAGAGACCGGAGAUAGGUCGACUCGACAGAGGCAUGUGAUUGAGUGUGGGUGAUUCCACCGGAUCGCACAAUUUUUGUCGAUCGGCACUGGACCGACUUUUCUAUCGAUUGGGUACCCUGUGUUCGUAUUUGAAACCUUGAGAUUACCUCGACAACCGAAAGUCGCCAAUGUUUCAAAAAUGUACAUUGUGGCUUGAGAUGAUCAACCACAGGUCAAAUGCAUAAAAAUCUCUAAAGGCUACCCGAUAGGUUGGGCCGCGCUAGUAUCGUGCCAAAGUGAAAUUAACCGUGGAAUUGAGAUCGAAUUCAGAAAUUGGAAGUCUGGGUGUGUCACAAAUCAUUUCAGGAUCAUUGAAUCAUCUUUGGAAGAUUUUUCAUGUAAUCAGAAUUUUCAGCAAGUAAAUCAGAAAAUGGCUAAUUUGGCUCGAGAAAUUAGUAGGCCCGCUUUUGGUCGUACUUUUGGGACUUAAGUUGGUUCUAUGGACAAGUGAAGAUGUGAAUUGAAGUGUGGUGACAUUGGAUUAAUUUUAUGGACUUCAAUUUAGUUCAAUUGGAAGAGAAUUGAUGAGAAUUGAAGAAAGUGAAUGUACAAGAAUUGGACCCCGGCGGAAAAUGGAAUUGAACCCAUUGGAAUAAGGUUGUGGGAGUUUUGAGUGAGUGGAGUAUGACAUCAUGGAUGAUGUCAUGGUGGGCCAUUUUGUGGGAUUAAAGAAAAAGAAAAAGAAAAGGGAAUGGUCCCAUCUCUCUCUCUCCUCCUUCUCUCUCCUUCCUCUCUCCCUUCCGUUGGCUUCUCCUCCAUCUUCUUUGUGCGAAAGACCAGAAAAUUUGCAGAGGAAGAAGCCGAAGCAGCCCCUCGUCGUUCGCCUCCUUCGCCGCUCGUCGCCCGUUGCCGGAACCGCCGAAGCCAGCUCGUCGCCGGUUCUCCUUCGCCCGCUCACGCCGCUGCUCUUCCCUCGUUCGCCGUCGUCCUCGCUCGUCUUCACGUUUGGGAGGCUGUCCGACCAGCCUAGGUCACGGAUCAGCCACCGUGAGCCGCCGUGCGCCCCCGCCUUAGCUCGCCGGAGCUUCGCCUUGCCUUCGCCGCCCUUGGCCGCCUCAACCGGCGCCGGAUCCGCCCAUUCUCGGCCUCAAACCGCCAUGGACAGCAGCUGCAGAAAAUGGGUAUGGCAGCCCCUUCUUGGCCCGUUUUGGCCGCCUUCCCGAGCCCGGAUGCUCGGCCCGCUUUGAGGAAAGUCGAUCCUCGCGUCGUCCUCGUCGUUUUGGUUCGCUCGGCUCGCUAAUCCGGUGAGUUUAGCUCACUAAACCUCGCUUAGAGGGUUAAUUAUGCUUUAGGUGUGCUUAGCUUAAGUUGAUUAAGCUUAGGUGGUUAAUUUAGUUGAUUUAAUUAUGAUUUAGAUUAAGAUGUUUGUUUAAUCUAAAGUAUGUUUAAUUAAAUGCUAAGGGAGUUUAUUUAAAGUUAAGUGGGUGUUUAUACUAAUAUAAACAUUGAUGUGACAUAAAUGAAUUUACUUUUGAUUUAUUUAAAGGUCUCGAAAUUAUCAUAUAAUUUAAUAAUAUAUUUUAUUCGAAAUUAAUAAAAUAUUAUUAUUUAAUUAUUUUCGGAAUAAAUUAAAUUAUUUGUUAAAUUCCGAAAAUUUUGUCGAGACCUUAAAUUCUCAGAAUUUCGUGCCGGUCGUGGCUGUGUAGUCGGAUUUUGAAAUUGAUGAUUGGAUAUUAUAAAUUGAGUGUGGAUUUCGAAAACUAUGGAUAUUAUUAUUUAAUUAUUUUCGGAAUAAAUUUAAUUAUUUAUUAAAUUCCGAAAAUUUUCAUUGGGACCUUAUUUGCUCAGAAUUUCGUGCCGAUCGUUGCUGUGCAUUUAGAAUUUGAAAUUGAUGAUUGGUUGUGAUGAAUUGAGUGUGAUUGUGAUUUAUAGGGAUUCUUUAUGAAAUCCUAAGUGUAGAAACUGAUGGGAGAUUGGCUGUAAAAUACCACCUAUUAGAGGUCGUGCCCAGAGAGGCCGUGAUAAACCACCUUGGAAAGGUCGUGCCCGAUGAGGCCGUGAAAAACCACCUACAAGAGGUCGUGCCCGAUGAGGCCGUGAAAUACCACCUAUUAGAGGUCGUGCCCAGAGAGGCCGUGAUAAACCACCUGUGAAAGGUCGUGCCCAGAGAGGCCGUGAUAAACCACCUGUGAAAGGUCGUGCCCAGAGAGGCCGUGAUAAACCACCUAUUAGAGGUCGUGCCCGAUGAGGCCGUGAUAUGCCACCUAUUAGAGGUCGCGCCCAAUGGGGCCGUGAAUUGCCACCUGUUAAAGGUCGCGCCGAGUGGGGCCGUGAUGCCACUGAUUUAAAUUUGCCGAGUAGGGCCGUAGUUGAGAGCAAUGAUGGAUUUGCUAGAAUGACAUGUAAUCGGCCGAGUCGAUUGAUCGCUGAGACGAUCCAAGUGGUUGAAUGGUUUGAUAAUGUGAUUGUGUCAUGGUUGUUUGGUUAUCAUAAUUGUACGUGAUUGGAUUAUAUAAAUUGUGCUAACCUGCAGAUGAAGGCUGAGGCGAGGUAAGUCUUCUGUGUGAUGUGGCUAGGCCACCCGGGGCGUAUUUUCUUUCUAAUAGGGGUUUAGGGGGUUGAACUUGCUGAGACAUCGUCUCAUCCCGGUUGUGGGAUUAAAAUUUCAGGUCCCUGGUGGACGGAGCGGCCAGAUAGCUUUGAUUGGCCUUGAGGAGUUGCAGAGGUGAAGUCAUAAGGGUUGGAGAGCGUGUCCUGCUAGUUGGUUGUAGGAUAGUCCCCCUUUUGUCGAGCUGGUCUAUUUUGUAGAAAGUCCAGUGUUGUAUUUAAACCCUUUGUGUUUGUAAAUGAGUGUUUGGUAUUGUGAUUGAUUGCCUGCUUUUCUAUCCCAAGUUAAAUGUUGUCAGGGGAUUUGUUUCGCUUCCGCAUGCGUAAAUAAAGAAAAUGGGUCGGCGACAUAUCCUGGGAUGUCGCAUUUUUGAUCGACCGUAGUGGGAUGUGCGCGCGCUCAGGG